AGGUAUUUUACUUCCUCUUUGAAAAAAUCACAUUUAGAUGGUUUUAAUUUAAGUCCAUGCUGACGAAGUUUCUGAAAUACUACUUCCAAUCUCUGAAUUUGAUCUUCUACAGUCCGUGAAAACACAAUAAUAUCAUCUAAGAAUACCAGGAGUAUCUGGAAAACUUCAUCACGGAAACAGUGCUGCAUAAGUCUCUGAAAGGUGGCGGGAGCGUUACACAAACCGAACGGCAUGGUGUUAAAUUCGUAUAGUCCAAAUGGUGUAGUAAAUGCUGUUUUGUGUUUGUCGUUCUCUUCUACUGCAACUUGGUUAUAUCCUGAAGUCAAAUCCAUGGUCGAGAAAUAACGGGAACCACACAGUGUAUCAAAUGAUUCUUCAACACGGGGGAGAGGAUAUGCGUCUUUGAUUGUCUUAGAGUUUAACUUCCGAUAAUCAACGCACAGACGUAAUUCACCAUUCUUCUUGCGAACGAUAACAAUUGGUGAUGCAUACGCACUGGUACUUUCUCUUAUAAUAUCCCUAUGUAAUAGCUCUCUAAUAUGUUGUUUAACUUCCUCAAAUUGCGUCGGGGGAAUGCGUCGGUACGGUAGAUUGACCGAUACUCCAUCUGUCAGCGUUAUUUUGUGUUUUACCGUAUCUGUAAAUCCUGUGUCUAAAUCCGACUUUGAAAAUACGUCAUGAUAUCUGUGAAAUAGUAAUUCUAUGCUUCGUUUCUCUUGGUCUGUCGCGUCAACUUUGUCCAAGUUUACAGGAAUACGGAACUCUGGAUCACAGGAACGUUCGUUAGUAGAUUCUGUCACAUAACACUGCACAAAUAUUUCCUGUACUGUGCCACAAUUGGAAAAUUGCACAGGGUCACUAAUUUCAUUGAUAACUUCUUCUCCUUUUGAUAAUAUAGCAAUGCGUGUUCGAGGUGAAAUCCAGACAUCAGAAUCAGUUAUGUUCGCUAGCCGCAAAUAGAAAUGGCCCUUGAUCACUUGAACGAAUGUCCGGACUAUAACAAUGCUGUCACUCAGGUGCUCGCUAUGCGACAAUGGUUCUGCUACGGCUGAGUAAUUUCCAGGUAUUGGCGGCCCAGUAGCGUUGAUCACGAUCACAGAUCUUGCGGGGAUUCUAACGGGAUGUCGCGCAGACACUUUAGCAAAACCAUACACAGUCCUGUUCUCUUGAUCACAUACUCGGAAUGCUGACUUAAUUUUCGAAUUGCAGGAUAUUUCAGACACUUUCUCGUGAUAAUAAUUUCCAUGUUUUUGAAUAAAAAUGUCUCUGCACUGUC
rnacentral:sRNA from 1 species